UUUUCUUUACUGUUCCUUAAUUUUCAGUUGCGUUAGUCCGUGGUACGUCCGUCCUCAGUUCCUCACCCCCGAGCGAAAAAGCAGCAACCGAUCCCCACGGGAUACCCAAAUCAAUCAAUCAAUCAAUCAGUGCCGCGAUUAACUCCAGCGCUCGCCCAGAAAAACCAUCGGUACAGCAAACCAACCGGGUAUCCACCAACUGCAUCUUCUUCCACCGCACUCCCGAUUAUCUCCAAUCCCGUGAUUAUCUCCAGGAAUCGAGCCGCCCGCGUGAGACCGUGAUCGCCGCCUUGACUCAAGCCGCCGCACAAGCAACCGCCUCCUCAGAUCGAUGCCGGCGCCUCCAUCCUCCUACAACCGCUCGCCGUCGACCUCGACAACGCCCCUCGGCGCCACCUCACGGGAAUCACCUCGACGUCGCCACUAGCCGCCACCUCACGGGAAUCACGUCCAUGUACGGGAAUCGCCACCGCCAUCGACCACGAUCCGGCCACCGCCCCGCCGGCUGCUGCUACAUUGCCGGCGCCCCGCCGGCCGUUGCUGUAUUGUAUCGCUGGGGAGAAGGGUCUCCGUGGGCAGUUCCGUAUUCGAGCCCGUCUCACGCUCGAGGGCGGCUGUCGGAUCAGGAAUCGACAUGGGAGGCAAGCAGGGGACGCAGCAUACGGCGACACGCACGUGUUUCUCACGGUGGGCCAAUCGACAUGGGAAGCAAGCAGGUCUCGAGCGCCCCGCGCCCGGGAGCAGCGUGCAUGCACAUGGAGGCACGGCUGUGCUGAUUGCACAAAACGUGUUUGACGAAAUGGCUCAAGGGUGCUGUGUUCACAAGAAAUGCUGUGCAGGACGCCCAUGUGGAUGAAUCUCCUGGUCUGCAAUUUGUAUGUUUGCUUUGGAGUUGCAUCCAUUGGACGUUGCAGAUCAUAUCAGAAUUCAAAGGUUUUUCCAUCCAGUUACAUUUCAGAUAAAGUGGUUCCAGUGUGCUCGCCGUUCUAAGGAGCAUGCUUGCCGUUCCAGCGUGCCGCAACCAAAAGGCUCGCCGGAAUACUUGCCACAUGCUACAACUUAUCCAAUCUUAAGUAGUUCACAGUUGCAUCGAGUAGACUUCUCCAACUGUUCUUCCUGCAUCCAUGGUAUGUGCCUCUUUCAAAUCUCCACUACCACUUGUAUAACUAGCUGAUUUCACUCAGCUCACAAAUCAAAACUUCAGAUUUUUAUUCAUCAGUAGUGUCAAGUGUGCUUGAAACUACUAGCGAUAUCAUAUAACAGUGCUUGGGAAUAAUUUCAGGAAAAAAAUAUAGUUUUUGUUGGCUAGGAGGUGCCUAUAAAGUGUAUCUUCUGCAUCUUGGCUUAAACACUUUCCAACAUAUAUGAAAUGUAAUGGCAACACUAAACACAAUGUGAUGUGUCUUGAGCAAAUCAUCAAUGAGCAUGACCAAAGCUGGUGAGCUUGAUGGAGGAGCUCGGCCAAGAGAGGUGUACCUUGUGUGUCAUAUCUCAAAAAAUCAUAUACCGAGAUGUCUUGCAGGAUCUCACUAACAGGUACAAUUAAUUAUUGAUUGAGCCGUGUUGCAUAAAUGCCUACAUACAAAUCAUAAUCUCCAAGAUGCCUGUAAUCUACCUUCUGUGAUUCUAUCCUAUUAUACAGAACAGGUACCAAACUAUGCCAGUUGUUAACAUCAAGUCAUGUUCUUGUUUCUUCAGUCUCUCUUUCCUAAAAAAGUUGUGUACUCUGGCAUAUCUUAUAUUUGGUGAGAAGAUCAUUUGGUAGAAAUGAGGGGCUUGAAGAUACCAAUGGGAGGCUGUAGAGAAUGGCCACGUUGUUCUUGUAGGCUGUUAGUGAAGGUUUGCUCCUACCAUUUCAUCAGCUAAUAGAUGUGGUCCCAAGUGUUUUUAUCGUCAAUGCUCAGGAUCUUUGUUUCCAAUUUGCCUCUCAGGCAUAUUUUUUAUUGUAAUAUAACUACUUGAACAAGCUUGCCCUAUUAAUAGAUUGUUCCGGUUUACGUUUCC